rnacentral:rRNA from 1 species
CACUCCUACGGGAGGCAGCAGUAGGGAAUCUUCCACAAUGGGUGCAAACCUGAUGGAGCAAUGCCGCGUGAGUGAAGAAGGUCUUCGGAUCGUAAAGCUCUGUUGUUAGAGAAGAACACGUGCUAGGUAACUACUAGCGCCUUGACGGUAUCUAACCAGAAAGUCACGGCUAACUACGUGCCAGCAGCCGCGGUAAUACGUAGGUGACAAGCGUUGUCCGGAUUUAUUGGGCGUAAAGGGAGCGCAGGCGGUCUGUUUAGUCUAAUGUGAAAGCCCACGGCUUAACCGUGGAACGGCAUUGGAAACUGACAGACUUGAAUGGAGAAGAGUAAAAUGGAAUUCCAAGUGUAGCGGUGGAAUGCGUAGAUAUUUGGAGGAACACCAGUGGCGAAGGCGAUUUUCUGGUCUAACAUUGACGCUGAGGCUCGAAAGCGUGGGGAGCGAACAGGAUUAGAUACCCCUGUAGUCCC